CAAAAAGUUCUUAUCAGAACUACAUAAUAAAACCAACUAGAUGGAA
rfam:Drosophila willistoni strain TSC#14030-0811.24 scf2_1100000004577 genomic scaffold, whole genome shotgun sequence.